GACGAACGCUGGCGGCGUGCCUAAUACAUGCAAGUCGUGCGGACCUUUUAAAAGCUUGCUUUUAUAAGGUUAGCGGCGGACGGGUGAGUAACACGUGGGCAACCUGCCUGUAAGACUGGGAUAAAGCCGGGAAACCGGGGCUAAUACCGGAUCGUUUUUUCUCCGCAUGGGGGAAAAAGGAAAGGAGGGUUCUGCUGCCACUUAUAGAUGGGCCCGCGGCGCAUUACCUAGUUGGCGGGGUAACGGCCCACCAAGGCAACGAUGCGUAGCCGACCUGAGAGGGGAGUCGGCCACAAUGGGACUGGGACACCGCCCAAGCCCCUACGGGGGGCAACAGGAGGGAAUUCUUCGCAAAGGACGGAAAUCUGGCGGGACAACGCCGGGUGAGUGAAUGAGGCCUUCGGGUCGUAAAACCCUGGUUCCGGGGGAGAACAAGAUCCGUUCGAACAGGGCGGCGCCUUGACGGUACCCGGCCAGAAAGCCACGGCUAACUACGUG
rnacentral:rRNA from 1 species